GAUGAACGCUGGCGGCGUGCCUAAUACAUGCAAGUCGAGCGAACGGACGAGAAGCUUGCUUCUCUGAUGUUAGCGGCGGACGGGUGAGUAACACGUGGAUAACCUACCUAUAAGACUGGGAUAACUUCGGGAAACCGGAGCUAAUACCGGAUAAUAUUUUGAACCGCAUGGUUCAAAAGUGAGAGACGGUCUUUCUGUCACUUAUAGAUGGAUCCGCGCUGCAUUAGCUAGUUGGUAAGGUAACGGCUUACCAAGGCAACGAUGCAUAGCCGACCUGAGAGGGUGAUAGACGACAUUGGAACUUAGACACGGACCAUGGUCCUACGAGAGGCAGCAGUAGGGUAUCUUCCGCAAUGGGCGAAAGCCUGACGGAGCAACGCCGCGUGAGUUAUGAAGGUCUUCGGAUCGUAAAACUCUGUUAUUAGGGAAGAACAUAUGUGUAAGUAACUGUGCACAUCUUGACGGUACCGAAUCAGAAAGCCACGGCUAACUACGUG
rnacentral:rRNA from 1 species